UGUGUCAGUUGUGGUGCUAACAUCUUCUUUUCUUCGUUUUCGUUACUUUGAAGUCUCUGGUUUCUACUUGUACAACGCCGAUUCAAACCUACCAUCUCCCACAUCAAGUCUAACUCAGGUUAAAUGGCUCCGGAUAGAGAUGCUCCACCUGAAAACUCACAAGAAAACUCACAAGAAAGAGAUAAUCAAGAAAGAGAUGCUCCGGAUACAAAUGCUCCACCUGAUACUGAAG